CGGCGGGUUGGCACCGGGUCUCCCGGGGCCCCCGGCCCCCUCUGGGGGCGGCCCGCCGGAGGUACCUAACUCUUGAACAUUGUAUGGCCUCUCUGAGUCUUCUGUACUGAAUAAGUCAAAACUUUCAACAACGGAUCUCUUGGUUCUGGCAUCGAUGAAGAACGCAGCGAAAUGCGAUAAGUAAUGUGAAUUGCAGAAUUCAGUGAAUCAUCGAAUCUUUGAACGCACAUUGCGCCCGCCAGUAUUCUGGCGGGCAUGCCUGUUCGAGCGUCAUUUCAACCAUCAAGCCCCGGGCUUGUGUUGGGGACCUGCGGCUGCCGCAGGCCCUGAAAUGCAGUGGCGGGCUCGCUGUCACACCGAGCGUAGUAGUAUUAUCUCGCUUUGGGCGUGCUGCGUGUCCCGGCCGUUAAACGACCUUACACCCAAGGUUGACCUCGGAUCAGGUAGGAAGACCCGCUGAACUUAAGCAU
rnacentral:rRNA from 1 species